CUUGGUCAUUUAGAGGAAGUAAAAGUCGUAACAAGGUCUCCGUUGGUGAACCAGCGGAGGGAUCAUUACCGAGUACUACGCUCAUAACCCUUUGUGAACCAUUAUACCUGUUGCUUCGGCGGCGCCCCCCAGGGGGUGCCCGCCGGCCUCCAGAAUCUCUGUUUUCGAACCCGACGAUACUUCUGAGUGUUCUUAGCGAACUGUCAAAACUUUUAACAACGGAUCUCUUGGCUCCAGCAUCGAUGAAGAACGCAGCGAAACGCGAUAUGUAAUGUGAAUUGCAGAAUUCAGUGAAUCAUCGAAUCUUUGAACGCACAUGGCGCCUUCCAGUAUCCUGGAGGCAUGCCUGUCCGAGCGUCAUUUCAACCCUCGAGCUCGUCUUCAUUGACGAGAUCGGUGUUGGGACCCGGCAAAGCGGACCCAGUCCGGCGCCGGCCCCGAAAUUCAGUGGCGGCCCGUUGCGGCGACCUCUGCGUAGUAACUUAACCUCGCAGUGGAAGAGCAGCGCGGCCACGCCGUAAAACCCCCGACUUUUUUAAGGUUGACCUCGAAUCAGGUAGGACUACCCGCUGAACUUAAGCAUAUCAAUAAGCGGAGGA
rnacentral:rRNA from 1 species